rnacentral:rRNA from 1 species
AGCAGUGAGGAAUAUUUGGUCCAAUGACCCUAANCGGUUGAACCAGCAACUUGGGAGAAUGUAUAGCUUUCGCUACAUGUACAAACUAUACAUGAUGUAGAAUUUCAUUAAAGUUCUAGGUAUAUUUUGAUAAUGACAAAUUUUGCCUAUAUGUCUUGACUAAAUCAUGUGCCAGCAGUCGCGGCAAUACAUGAAAGACUAGUGUUAUUCAUCUUAAUUUGGUUUAAAGGGUACCUAGACAGUCAAAUAAGCCUAUAAUAAAACAAAGGUACUAUUAGACUAGAGUUUAAUGUAAGAGGGGAGGAUAGAACAAGUAGAGUAGCGAUGAAAUGUGUUGAUUCACUUUGUAGACUGGUAAAGGCAAAAGCAACCUUUUAUGUAAAAACUGACGUUGAGGGACGAAGGCGACGAUUAACAAACAGGAUUAGAUACCCAAGUAAUGAGUGCAGUCAAUGAUGAAUGCCAUAUGUAAGAUAAUUUUUAUGUAUAAAUGAAAGUGUAAGCAUUCCACCUCAAGAGUAAAGUGGCAACGCAGGAACUGAAAUCAUUAGACCGUUUCUGAGAACAGUAGUGAAGUAUGUUGUUUAAUUUGAUGAUCCACGGAAAACCUUACCACAAUUUGAAUAUUUACAUAUUUAUAUGUUUAUACAAGCGUUGCACGGCUGUCUUCAGUUAAUGUCGUGAGACUAUGGUUAGCUCCAUUAAAUUAACGUAAACCCUUAUUUUAUUUUUUAUAAAAUAGUUCCUUAUUAUAUUGAAAAUUGAUAACAGGGACUAAGACAAGUCAUCAUGGCCUUAACAUUGUGGGCUAUAGACGUGCCACAU